rnacentral:lncRNA from 1 species
AAACAUCUCAUCUAGAAUUAUUUAAUGUCCUAAAAAGAACAUAUACUGGAAUAUAUUCUGGAAGAGCUUGUCGUCAACACGAUUGAGGAGCUGGAUCAGGAAGUCGUGAAUGGACGGAGGUUGCUGUUCUCCAGUUAUUUACCAGUCGGACCUCUGGUACCUGCGGAGCUUCUGCAAGAACAGCACCCGAUCACUCUCAGUUCUCCAAAUGACACUAGCAUGAUCUGGCUGGACAAACAAGCUUACGGCUCGGUUCUGUAUAUCGCUUUUGGAAGUGUUGUUACUCUGCCAGCCGACCAAGUGGAGAAAAUUGCAAGAGCUGUAAAAGCUACCCGUCAGCCAGUCUUGUGGGCGAUCAGGAGGAACUUUGCAAAAGACGUACCUGAGAACUUUUAUGAAAGCUUGCAAGAGAUAGUUAAAAGUUUAUGGUGGUGGAACCUUGCCACCACCAUAAACUGGUGGUGGAAUGGGCUCCGCAAGUAAACGUCUUGCGCCACUCCGCGGUUGGAGCCUUCUUAAUGCACGGUGGAUGGAACUCAGCUCUAGAAGCCCUGUGCUGUGGAGUGCCAAUGCUUUGCUGGCCCUGCGCUAGCGAUCAGAACUUGAAUGCUCUCACGAUAGUGAAGAAGUGGAGAACUGGGAUAAUGGUGGCUCGGCGCCGGCGCUACGCCCGCUAGGGUGUGGUGAUCGAUGGCAGCGGAGGGCGCUUGCGGUGCCAUCGGCGGCGAGAGCGCGCCAUGCCAAUGCGCUGGUUGCGCGAUCCGAGUAAGAUUCGCUCUAGAGAUCCGCUCGCGAGAAUGUGGCUGGGGAUUUGGCUUCCAGCGAAAAGAUUUGCAAUUUUCAACAUCAAACAUAGCUCCGAUGACCGGUAACAGCAUGCGCAGCAGCAACGAUCUCGCCAAGGGGGAUCCCGGCGAGCUCGUGGAGAAGAUCCGCCUGGCAGCGUGGGCCAUGGCAGUCUCUGUGCGAGAGAUUAUCCGGAAGCUCCAGGAGGAAGGGAACCCCGUUUGCUGCAUGAUCACGGACACCUUCAACGGAUUCACCCAGGAUCUGGCGGACGAAUUCGGUAUCCCCAGGGCGGUGUUCUGGACCUCCAACGCGAUCAACGACAUUUAUCACCUCUUCCUGCCGGAGCUCAUCUCCAAAGGAUUCGUGCCAGUCGCGAAUAAGUUCUCCCUCCCCUGUUUUUGGGGUUCUAAGGAAACUCCCCCUUCUUCGAGCCAGGAAAACGGACGAGCUCAUCACAUUCCUGCCUGGCUGCCCGCCAAUGCCCGCCACAGAUCUGCCUCUAUCCUUCUACUACGAUCACCCAAUCCUGGGCAUGGUCUGCGACGGCGCGUCGCGGUUCGCGGAGGCGAUAUUCGCUCUGUGCAACACCUACGAGGAGCUGGAGCCACACGCAGUGGCGACGCUGCGCAGCGAGAUGAAAUCCACCUACUUCCCCAUCGGCCCGUGCCUCUCCCCGGCAUUCUUCGCGGGGGACUCGACAGCGGUGGAGCGAUCCAGCGAGCUCCUGUCUCCCGAGGAUCUGGCGUGCCUGGAGUGGCUCGACACACAGAAGGAAUCCUCCGUGAUCUACGUCUCCUUCGGCAGCGUGGCCACCAUGUCCGUGGAGCAAUUCCAGGAGCUCGCCAGGGGCCUGGAGCGCAGCAACCAGCCAUUCGUGCUGGUGCUGCGCAAGACCCUCGUCGCGGAUCCCUCGGUGCACGAUUUCUUCGAGGGAUUGAAGCAGCGGAUCGGCGAGCGCGGGAUCGUGAUCUCGUUGGCGCCGCACGUCUUGCUCCACCCGGCGGUGGGAGGAUUCCUGACGCACUGCGGAUGGAACACGACCGUGGAGGGGAUCUGCGAGGCCGUGCCGAUGCUCGCCUGGCCUUGCAUGGCGGAGCAAAACGUGAACUGCAAGGAGCUUGUGGAGCACUGGAAGCUGGCGAUCCCGGUCCAGGAUGAUCGGGAUAAAAGCUCCGUGAUCUCGGUCUCGAGCGAGAGGCUGGCGGAUCUAGUGGCGAGGCUGAUGAGAGGCGACGAGGGUCGCGAGAUGCGAGCCCGGGCUCGGGGAUUCCGCAAGGCUACUGCGGCUGCCAUAGCCGAGGGAGGAUCCUCGGACAGGAACCUCAAGGCCUUCGCCCAAGCUCUGAGAGAUCUGUGAUCUCUUGGACGCGACAAUUAGAAUCAAUCAAUGGGUUAGUGAGAUUGAAAGUUUUAAUAAGCCAAUUUGUGCUGCCUCUAUGCGGUCUUUCACUCCCUCUUUUCCAUGUGUUUUUUAGAUGGAGAGCAUAACUUAAGUACUUGGACAUGUUUUUGGAACAGAUUCUUGGGGUUGGGUUUCCAAAAACCAUGUUGCCAAUGCACAAAACUGUGCCGGAGUGUCGAACUGUGGUCGCACGGUGGCUGGCAAUAACAAAUAGAAGAAGAAAGAGAUACAUUCCCAAGAGCUUGUAUAAAAAUAGGUCCUCCCCUUGUAUCAUGGUUUCCAGUGCCCCAGUAUAGCAUUGUUGCACUCCAAUCUUUGAGGCUCCAAAGAUUUAUAGUUUGACCGAGCAGUAUAGCUUGACAAUCACUGCCACCAGGGGGGAGGCGCUUCUAGCUGUAAGAGUUGCUUGAUCAACAGUUGGAAAGGGAUCAUAUCAAAUGUUCCACAAAUCCAGUUAGCAAUGUCUUGUUUCGUCCCAACCUUGUGCGUUCCAGAGGAUGCACAAAGUGACAAGGUGGUCUAGGGAUCGCUGUUUUCGAAAGCUGGUGCGUUUGGAAAAAUAAAUAAAAUUAUUCUCCAACAAGGAUCAAGAAAUCUUGUAUGCUUUGACCUUGUGCCACCCAAGCAGGGGCGAACUAUCGAACUCAUUGAGACUGAUCCAACAGCUCGACUUGGAAAUCGCAGAAGUGUCAUCCAGUCAGGCCUUGAGCAUUGAUCUUGCCCGCAUCCACAACCUGCAGAAGCCUUGGGCAAGAGAGCCAAGCGGGAAAAGACAUGUUGUUGCUGUUAAACUCACUCUCAGACACUCACAAAACUCUUGGGGCCAUUGGAUUUCCCAGCUGGCCACAAGAACCACAAGAAACCCCAUGGCAAGGGCGUCGGGAACAUGUUGUAGCCCCAUAUGCCUCACAAGGGGAUUCCCCACAUGCCAAGGACAGUAAUAAACUCAAGAAAUAAAGAUCACUAUUGCUAUUGGUUUGUCCAGUAUCUUCAUGAAGAUACUUAUUGAAAAGGAAGUCUCCACCGAAAACAUGAUAGACAAGGAUGACUCUAUGACAGUCGACUGGGCUCAUGUCAUAGAGAGUGUAUAUCUCAACACAACAUACACACUUGCUUUUUUCACAAAACAGCUCUUAGGAACUUAGUAUCUUAAGAACUGCCUCAACUCCUCUGGAUGCCCACAAAACCCUCAAGUGUCAUUGCUCUUGCGGGGGACAACACCUGCUUGCAAGCUGGGAUCUUUGGCUAUGGUGGAGAGUAUUCUACUGGAUCUGGCAUCGCACUUCUCACCCCAAGACUGCCUUCCGGGAAAACAUUCGAGUGACAAUACCUUUCUUGUUUGGAUUCAAACUUGGCCUGCUAAUCGACAAACGUGAAAGAAAACACAAGGAAAAGACACAGGCCGCCGUGUCCAAAGUUUCUCACUGAUAAGUAGCAAUUGAUUCAGAAACAUUUAUGAAAAUUACCACGUUAUGAAUAGUGUUUUAACCUAUGCAAAUGCCCAUACCAGCCGCGUCCAAAACGUUCGGAACAAAUCAAACGCGGCGUGCGACGCGGACAGCGGCCUUGCGUUGACCAUGUCGCUAUUGGCCAAUACAACCCUUACAAAUAUCUCCUCUUCCACUCUCAAAAGAUCGAUCGCUUCUGAUCAAGAGCAAGACCACCAUGGCCUACACUUACACCCCGCAAGGCCAUCCAACGCAGCAGUAUCAAGGACAGCAGCAAGGAUUCACCAGCGAAGGCCAUCCCGUUGCCCCUCCUGCUGCUUAUCCCCAGCCUCCGCCUGGUAAUUAUUAUGGACCUGGAGUGGCAACCAUGGCACCCCCGAAUUCUGGCCUCUGGACAACGGGCCUCUGUGGAUGCACUGAGGACUGCCCCUCUUGUAAGUUUUUUUUUUUUUCGUGAAAAAGAGUUCUUUUUGUGCAACUUGCAUGAUUGACUGAGUGAUCUCUUUAAAUCUGCUUUCUGUUCUUUGAUCCUAGAUCUGGUUUGUAGCAGACUUCCAGAUAGAUAAGAUAUCCGUUCGACAUUUCUUAAAAUUUAUUUGAUCAAUCCUCUCCAUCUGGUGUAACCACAGGCUGGUGUGCGUUGUGCUGCCCCUGCGUUCUUGUUGGGCGCAUGGCCAACAUUCUGGAUCAAGGCAUGACCUGUGAGUAUUCAACUUUGAGAUAAACUAUAUCCCAAACGUUUUUUUUUUUUUUUGAUGUUCCACUCACGAUUCUGCUUGGAUUUGUGAUCCAAUGUUGUAGCUGUCUUCACCGGAGCCGCCAUCUUUUGCAUCGUGCAGUGGUUCACCGGCUGUGGCUGCCUCUACAGCUGCCUGUACCGUGCAAAGCUGCGCCACAAGUACGGACUCCCCGAGGAGCCCUGCAACGACAUCUGCACCGACUGCUGGUGCAACUGCUGCUCCAUUGCCCAGGCUUACAGGGAGCUCAGGAACCGCAACAUCAACCCGGCUCUGGGUAUGAUUUCUGGGGCCUUGGUGAUCUUUGUUUCCUGAUUUCUGAAAAUGGAGAUUUUUCAGGGUACGAGUUUGCGAGGGCGGUGUACGAGCAGCCACCUCAAGUGCAGGAGAUGCGCAAAAUGUGAGCUACGGAAAUUAGUUCUUAAAAUCUUCAACCUGAAAAUGCUUCUUCGGGGCUUUUCAAGAAUGCCAUGUUGCAUACGUUACCUCCGGAUUUCUUCCUUGUGCCAUUGGAAAAUAAUACAAGCCCAAGUUUGUGAAAAUUUCUAAACAUCUCAUCUAGAAUUAUUUAAUGUCCUGGGGCGUUUCAAGAAUGCCAUGUUGCAUACGUUACCUCCGGAUUUCUUCCUCGUGACAUUGGAAAAUAAUACAAGCCCAAGUUCGUAGAAAUUUCUGAAGAUCUCAUCUAGUAUUAUUUAAUGUCCUAAAACAAUGUAAAUAUGAGCUAUCCUCUUAUGGCGGACGAGCAGCGCCUUCACGUAGCGGUGCUCCCAACCACCGGCUCCGGCCACAUCAAUCCCAUGCUCGAGCUCUGCCGCCGCCUCGUCCCGCUAGGAUUCCAGGUAAGCUUCGUCUAUCCCAGCAAUCUAUGCCCCAAGCUGGAGUCGAGCCUUCGACACGAUGAUCUUCACUUCCAAGUGGUGCCAAGCCCAGCCUCGGACAAGCCUUUGCUCAUGGAUCCCGCGUUGCAAGAGGACGUGAGACCGGUUCUAGAGGCCCUCCGUCCACCAGUGAAGUGCCUUAUCGCUGAUAUGUUUUUAGGCUGGUCACAGGACGUGGCCGACAGCCUGGGGAUUCCACGAGUUGCCUUCAUUCCCAGUGACUCAGUCAUCGAAGCGAUGUGCUACCAUAUUCCAGAGCUUGUCUCCAGGGGUUUCAUUCCUGGCCAUGUUCCUGCCAAUGGUGAGAAGAAGAAGAAACUUUACAAUUGCUUCAUACCGAUCGACGAAUAUGUGUUGUUGUCUCAGCCGAUCCAAAUCCGGACGCUUUGAUCGACUUCAUCCCUGGUCUCGAGCCUUUUACAAGAGAGUUGCUCCCUCUUGCCUUCCAGCACGGGGGACCCAUUGUGACCACUGUGGGAGUUGCAGCCAGACGAACAAAGGAUGCGGUUUGCAUUGUCGUCAACACGAUUGAGGAGUUGGAUCAGGAAGUUGUGAAUGGACGGAGGUUGCUAUUCUCCAGUUAUUUACCAGUCGGACCUCUGGUACCUGCGGAGCUUCUGCAAGAACAGCACCCGAUCACUCUCAGUUCUCCAAAUGACACUAGCAUGAUCUGGCUAGACAAACAAGCUUACCGCUCGGUUCUCUAUAUCGCUUUUGGCAGUGUUGUUACUCUGCCAGCCGACCAAGUGGAGAAGAUUGCAAGAGCUGUAAAAGCCACUCGUCAGCCAGUCUUGUGGGCGAUCAGGAGGAACUUUGCAAAAGACGUACCUGAGAACUUUUAUGAAAGCUUGCAAGAGAUAGUUGGGGCGCAAGCCUGCCUGGUGGUGGAAUGGGCUCCACAAGUAAACGUCUUGCGCCACUCCGCGGUUGGAGCCUUCUUAAUGCACGGUGGAUGGAACUCAGCUCUAGAAGCCCUGUGCUGUGGAGUACCAAUGCUUUGCUGGCCCUGCGGUAACGAUCAGAACUUGAAUGCUCUCACGAUAGUGAAGAAGUGGAGAAUUGGGAUAAUGGUGGCUCAUGGACCCAAAGACGAUGUGAGAAGCGAAGACUUGGGAAACGUUAUAGAUGCUGUGAUGAACGGCGAGGAAGGGAGGAGGAUGAGGAGCAGAGCUCAAGAACUUAAAAAGAUCGUGAGGGCAGGUACUUGCCUGGAGAGAAAUCUUCGACAGCUCAAGGAUGUGAUCAUAGCCGCGUCUCAAUAGGGGCCUGCAAUACCAUCUGGAUUCAUACUUGAU